GACGAACGCUGGCGGCGCGCCUAACACAUGCAAGUCGAACGAGCGAGAGAGAGCUUGCUUUCUUGAGCGAGUGGCGAACGGGUGAGUAACGCGUGAGGAACCUGCCUCAAAGAGGGGGACAACAGUUGGAAACGACUGCUAAUACCGCAUAAGCCCACGGUGCCGCAUGGCACAGAGGGAAAAGGAGCAAUCCGCUUUGAGAUGGCCUCGCGUCCGAUUAGCUAGUUGGUGAGGUAACGGCCCACCAAGGCGACGAUCGGUAGCCGGACUGAGAGGUUGAACGGCCACAUUGGGACUGAGACACGGCCCAGACUCCUACGGGAGGCAGCAGUGGGGAAUAUUGCACAAUGGGGGAAACCCUGAUGCAGCGACGCCGCGUGGAGGAAGAAGGUCUUCGGAUUGUAAACUCCAGUUGUUGGGGAAGAUAAUGACGGUACCCAACAAGGAAGUGACGGCUAACUACGUG
rnacentral:rRNA from 1 species